rnacentral:rRNA from 1 species
CCUACGGGCGGCAGCAGUGGGGAAUAUUGCACAAUGGGGGAAACCCUGAUGCAGCGACGCCGCGUGAGUGAAGAAGUAUUUCGGUAUGUAAAGCUCUAUCAGCAGGAACGAGACAAGACGGUACCUGACUAAGAAGCCCCGGCUAACUACGUGCCAGCAGCCGCGGUAAUACGUAGGGGGCAAGCGUUAUCCGGAAUCACUGGGUGGAAAGGGAGCGUAGACGGCUGAGCAAGCCUGAAGUGAAAGGCGGGGGCCCAACCCCCGGACUGCUUUGGGAACUGUACGGCUGGAGUGCAGGAGAGGUAAGUGGAAUUCCUAGUGUAGCGGUGAAAUGCGUAGAUAUUAGGAGGAACACCAGUGGCGAAGGCGGCUUACUGGACUGUAACUGACGUUGAGGCUCGAAAGCGUGGGGAGCAAACAGGAUUAGAUACCCGAGUAGUC